AUGAGUGGCAAGCAAAAGGGUUUGAUUGCUGCAGUGCAGAAAGUGUUCCCUCAUUCUGAGCACAGACAUUGUGUGAGGCACAUAUAUCAGAAUUUCCACAAAGUACACAAGGGUGAAACAUUGAAGAAUGAUUUAUGGGCAAUAGCAAGAUCUACAAACAAAAUUGCUUACCACAAAAACAUGGAGCAAAUAAAGGAACACAGUUUAGAUGCUUACAAGUGGGUUGAGAAGUUGUCUCCAAGAACAUGGAUAAAGGCUUUCUUUAACCCUUUCUGCAAAUGUGACAUCCUCCUCAACAAUAUGUCUGAGGUGUUCAACAGCUAUAUUCUGGAUGGAAGAGAUCUGCCAAUAAAGUCCAUGUUAGAUUAUAUUUUCCAUAAACUAGCAAAUAGGAUAGUUGGCAAACAAAGGGAAUCUGAGAAGUGGACUGGCCGGCUGUGCCCCAAAAUUCAGAAGAAACUAGACAAAUAUAUAGAAUGGGCAAAGAACUACAUGGUUACUGAGUAUGGGAAAGGUGUUUUCCAGGUUUUGUCUCUGAAUAAUACAUAUGUUGUGGAUUUGAACAUGAACAGUUGUGACUGCAACAGAUGGGAACUCUCAGCCAUCCCAUGCCAUCAUGCCAUUGCAUGUUUCAGACAUGAAAGGAUUGAGCCAGAGAGCAUGGUGCAUGACUGUUAUAGUGUUGAGAACUACAAGAGUUGCUAUGGUUGGAACCUUAUGCCUAUGAGGGACAUGAAGCAUUGGGAGAAAAUGAAUGGCAUAGAUGUAUAUCCACCUAUUUACACAAAAGUCAUGGGAAGGCCAAAGAAAAGUAGGAAGAAAGAGCCAGAAGAGAAAAAGGGUAAGGAUGGUCUGAAGAAAGUAACAAAACAUGGUGUCACUAUGCAUUGUUCUAUAUGUGGAGCUGCUGAUCACAAUAAAAAAGGUCACCACAACCAUGUAAAUGAUGAACCAAAACCAAUAGGAGCAGAGGAAUCAGAAGAAGAGUAUGAUGACCCAAGCAUCAUUGCUAACAUUAUGCCACAUAGAGUAAAUCCCAUGCUGGAUCCAACAAAAGCUAAAGAUUCCAUGGUGUUCAUGAUGCAGGAAAGGGGACUCAAUCCCAGUAGGUAG
rnacentral:rRNA from 1 species